rnacentral:rRNA from 1 species
ACCACGCGACGGUGAAGUAAUACCUAGGAACGUAUCUUUAGUUGAGCAUAUCCCACCGAAAGGUGGAGCAAUUCUCAAUGUGAUCGCAAGAUUAAAGUCGCAAGACGCUAAAGAAGCGGCCUGGGCACCAUCAGCUAGUUGGUAAGGUAAUGGCUUACCAAGGCUAUGACGGUUAGGGGCCCCGAGAGGGGAGACCUCCACACUGGAACUGCGACACGGUCCAG